rnacentral:rRNA from 1 species
UACGAGGGGGGCAAGCGUUGUUCGGAAUUAUUGGGCGUAAAAGGUGCGUAGGCGGUUUGGUAAGUCUUAUGUGAAAUCUACAGGCUCAACUUGUAGUCUGCAUGAGAAACUGCCGGGCUUGAGUAUGGGAGAGGUGAGUGGAAUUCCUGGUGUAGCGGUGAAAUGCGUAGAUAUCAGGAGGAACACCUGUGGCGAAAGCGGCUCACUGGACCAUAACUGACGAUGAUGCACGAAAGCUAGGGGAGCAAACAGG